GACGAACGCUGGCGGCGUGCUUAACACAUGCAAGUCGAACGGAAAGGCCCUGCUUUUGUGGGGUGCUCGAGUGGCGAACGGGUGAGUAACACGUGAGUAACCUGCCCUUGACUUUGGGAUAACUUCAGGAAACUGGGGCUAAUACCGGAUAGGAGCUCCUGCUGCAUGGUGGGGGUUGGAAAGUUUCGGCGGUUGGGGAUGGACUCGCGGCUUAUCAGCUUGUUGGUGGGGUAGUGGCUUACCAAGGCUUUGACGGGUAGCCGGCCUGAGAGGGUGACCGGCCACAUUGGGACUGAGAUACGGCCCAGACUCCUACGGGAGGCAGCAGUGGGGAAUAUUGCACAAUGGGCGGAAGCCUGAUGCAGCAACGCCGCGUGCGGGAUGACGGCCUUCGGGUUGUAAACCGCUUUCGCCUGUGACGAAGCGUGAGUGACGGUAAUGGGUAAAGAAGCACCGGCUAACUACGUGCCAGCAGCCGCGGUGAUACGUAGGGUGCGAGCGUUGUCCGGAUUUAUUGGGCGUAAAGGGCUCGUAGGUGGUUGAUCGCGUCGGAAGUGUAAUCUUGGGGCUUAACCCUGAGCGUGCUUUCGAUACGGGUUGACUUGAGGAAGGUAGGGGAGAAUGGAAUUCCUGGUGGAGCGGUGGAAUGCGCAGAUAUCAGGAGGAACACCAGUGGCGAAGGCGGUUCUCUGGGCCUUUCCUGACGCUGAGGAGCGAAAGCGUGGGGAGCGAACAGGCUUAGAUACCCUGGUAGUCCACGCUGUAAACGGUGGGUACUAGGUGUGGGGUCCAUUCCACGGGUUCCGUGCCGUAGCUAACGCUUUAAGUACCCCGCCUGGGGAGUACGGCCGCAAGGCUAAAACUCAAAGGAAUUGACGGGGCCCCGCACAAGCGGCGGAGCAUGCGGAUUAAUUCGAUGCAACGCGUAGAACCUUACCUGGGUUUGACAUGGAUCGGGAGUGCUCAGAGAUGGGUGUGCCUCUUUUGGGGUCGGUUCACAGGUGGUGCAUGGCUGUCGUCAGCUCGUGUCGUGAGAUGUUGGGUUAAGUCCCGCAACGAGCGCAACCCUUGUUCACUGUUGCCAGCACGUUAUGGUGGGGACUCAGUGGAGACCGCCGGGGUCAACUCGGAGGAAGGUGGGGAUGACGUCAAGUCAUCAUGCCCCUUAUGUCCAGGGCUUCACGCAUGCUACAAUGGCUGGUACAGAGAGUGGCGAGCCUGUGAGGGUGAGCGAAUCUCGGAAAGCCGGUCUCAGUUCGGAUUGGGGUUUGCAACUCGACCUCGUGAAGUCGGAGUCGCUAGUAAUCGCAGAUCAGCAACGCUGCGGUGAAUAAGUUCCCGGGGCU
rnacentral:rRNA from 1 species